rnacentral:rRNA from 1 species
UUGAAACUCAAAGGAAUUGACGGGGGCCCGCACAAGCGGUGGAGUAUGUGGUUUAAUUCGAUGCUACGCGAAGAACCUUACCAGGUCUUGACAUCUUCUGCCAACCUAAGAGAUUAGGCGUUCCCUUCGGGGACAGAAUGACAGGUGGUGCAUGGUUGUCGUCAGCUCGUGUCGUGAGAUGUUGGGUUAAGUCCCGCAACGAGCGCAACCCUUAUUGUUAGUUGCCAGCAUUCAGUUGGGCACUCUAGCAAGACUGCCGGUGACAAACCGGAGGAAGGUGGGGAUGACGUCAAAUCAUCAUGCCCCUUAUGACCUGGGCUACACACGUGCUACAAUGGACGGUACAACGAGUCGCGAAACCGCGAGGUCAAGCUAAUCUCUUAAAGCCGUUCUCAGUUCGGAUUGUAGGCUGCAACUCGCCUACAUGAAGUUGGAAUCGCUAGUAAUCGUGGAUCAGCAUGCCACGGUGAAUACGUUCCCGGGCCUUGUACACACCGCCCGUCACACCAUGAGAGUUUGUAACACCCAAAGCCGGUGAGGUAACCUUCGGGGACCAGCCGUCUAAGGUGGGACAGAUGAUUAGGGUGAAGUCGUAACAAG